GCAAACUUGGUCAUUUAGAGGAAGUAAAAGUCGUAACAAGGUAACCGUAGGUGAACCUGCGGUUGGAUCAUUACUAAAUGAUUGCCAGUUCUCUCUUCUCGAAGAGAUUGAGCAGGCACUAACCCUUUGUGAACUGUUGCAUUACUUGGGUACGGAUCUCUUAGUUGAGAGAAGUGCCCGAAUUUAUAAACCCCUUUAUGUUUAACUGAAUGUGAUCUAAGAGAAAUAACUUUUGACAACGGAUCUCUUGGCUCUCGCAUCGAUGAAGAACGCAGC
rnacentral:misc_RNA from 1 species